CCCUUAGAUGUUCUGGGCCGCACGCGCGCUACACUGAUGCAUUCAACGAGCCUAUCCUUGACCGACAGGUCCGGGUAAUCUUUGAAUCUGCAUCGUGACGGGGAUAGAUUAUUGCAAUUAUUAAUCUUCAACGAGGAAUGCCUAGUAGGCGCAAGUCAUCAGCUUGCGUCGAUUACGUCCCUGCCCUUUGUACACACCGCCCGUCGCUCCUACCGAUUGGGUGUGCUGGUGAAAUGUUCGGAUCGGCCGUUUGUCGCGGUUUCCGCGGCUCGUGGCUGAGAAGUUCAUUAAACCCUCCCACCUAGAGGAAGGAGAAGUCGGAACA
rnacentral:rRNA from 1 species